rnacentral:rRNA from 1 species
AGAGUUUGAUCCUGGCUCAGAUUGAACGCUGGCGGCAUGCUUUACACAUGCAAGUCGAGCGGCAGCNNGGGGGCNNCCCUGGCGCGAGCGGCNNACGGGUGAGUAAUGCAUCGGAACGUGUCCAGAAGUGGGGGAUACCCGGCGAAAGCCGGGCUAAUACCGCAUAUUCUCCACGGAGGAAAGCGGGGGAUCGCAAGCCUCGCGCUUUUGGAGCGGCCGAUGCCCGAUUAGCUUGUUGGUGGGGUAAUGGCCUACCAAGGCGACGAUCGGUAGCUGGUCUGAGAGGAUGAUCAGCCACACUGGGACUGAGACACGGCCCAGACUCCUACGGGAGGCAGCAGUGGGGAAUUUUGGACAAUGGGGGAAACCCUGAUCCAGCCAUGCCGCGUGCGGGAAGAAGGCCUUCGGGUUGUAAACCGCUUUUAGCUGGGAAGAAAAGAUCACGGAUAACACCCGUGGUUCUUGACGGUACCGGCGGAAUAAGCACCGGCUAACUACGUGCCAGCAGCCGCGGUAAUACGUAGGGUGCGAGCGUUAAUCGGAAUUACUGGGCGUAAAGCGUGCGUAGGCGGUUCGUUGUGUCUGUGGUGAAAGCCCCGGGCUUAACCUGGGAAUUGCCAUGGAAACUGGCGAGCUUGAGUGUGGCAGAGGGGGGUGGAAUUCCGCGUAGCAGUGAAAUGCGUAGAGAUGCGGAGGAACACCGAUGACGAAGGCAGCCCCCUGGGCUAGCACUGACGCUCAGGCACGAAAGCGUGGGGAGCAAACAGGAUUAGAUACCCUAGUAGUCC